rnacentral:misc_RNA from 1 species
GUAGGUGAACCUGCGGAAGGAUCAUUACAGAGAGAGGUUUCACCGCCUCGGGGGGCUUCGGCCCCCAACUCUCCACCCCGUGCGUACCUUCAUUUCUGUUGCUCUGGUAGGCCUUUGAGGUCAAGCUCAUGCCGGCGCCGCCGGCGAGUGUCUGCCAGUAGCCCUUUCCGACUCGUUUUAUCAGUGACGUCCGAGUGCCAAUGUAAAUAAUCAAAACUUUCAACAACGGAUCUCUUGGUUCUG